rnacentral:rRNA from 1 species
CCUACGGGAGGCAGCAGUGAGGAAUAUUGGGCAAUGGACGCAAGCCUGAACCAGCCAAGCAGCGUGAAGGAAGACGGCUCUAUGAGUUGUAAACUGCUUUUGUAAGGGGGUAAACAGAGACACGUGUACCUGUCUGAAAGUAUCUUAUGAAUAAGGAUCGGCUAACUCCGUGCCAGCAGCCGCGGUAAUACGGAGGAUUCAAGCGUUAUCCGGAUUUAUUGGGUUUAAAGGGUGCGUAGGUGGGCGGAUAAGUUAGAUGUGAAAUCUCGAGGCUCAACUUCGGAAUUGCCUUUGAUACUGGUCGUCUUGAGUGUAGUUGCGGUAGGCGGAAUGUGUGGUGUAGCGGUGAAAUGCUUAGAGAUCACGCAGAACACCGAUUGCGAAGGCAGCUUACCAAACUGCUUCUGACGUUGAGGCUCGAAAGCGUGGGGAGCAAACAGGAUUAGAUACCCCAGUAGUC